AUUGAACGCUGGCGGCAGGCCUAACACAUGCAAGUCGAGCGAGCGGCGGACGGGUGAGUAAUGUCUGGGAAACCGCCUGAUGGAGGGGGAUAACUACUAGAAACGGUAGCUAAUACCGUAUACCAUCAGAUGUGCCCAGGUGGGUUUCGCUAGUAGGUGGGGUAAUGGCUCACCUAGGCGACGAUCCCUAGCUGGUCGGAGAGUAUGACCAGCCACACUGGAACUGAGACACGGUCCAGACUCCUACGGGAGGCAGCAGUGGGGAAUAUUGCACAAUGGGCGCAAGCCUGAUGCAGCCAUGCCGCGUGUGUGAAGAAGGCCUUCGGGUUGUAAAGUACUUUCAGCGGGGAGGCGUUACUCGCAGAAGAAGCACCGGCUAACUCCGUGCCAGCAGCCGCGGUAAUUC
rnacentral:rRNA from 1 species